UGGGGAAUUUUGGACAAUGGGCGAAAGCCUGACCCAGCAACGCCGCGUGAAGGAUGAAGUAUUUCGGUAUGUAAACUUCGAAAGAAUAGGAAGAAUAAAUGACGGUACUAUUUAUAAGGUCCGGCUAACUACGUGCCAGCAGCCGCGGUAAUACGUAGGGACCAAGCGUUGUUCGGAUUUACUGGGCGUAAAGGGCGCGUAGGCGGCAAUUCAAGUCAUCUGUGAAAUCUCCGGGCUUAACUCGGAACGGUCAGAUGAUACUGCUUUGCUAGAGUGCAGAAGGGGCAAUCGGAAUUCUUGGUGUAGCGGUGAAAUGCGUAGAUAUCAAGAGGAACACCUGAGGCGAAGGCGGGUUGCUGGGCUGAUACUGACGCUGAGGCGCGAAAGCUAGGGUAGCAAACGGGAUUAGAUACCCACGUAGUCCCUGAGCGGGCUGGCAAGGCGCAU
rnacentral:rRNA from 1 species